GCUACUAUGGCUCAGUUGGUAGAGCAGCUGAUUCGUAAUCAGCAGGCCGCCGGUUCAAGUCCGGCUAGUAGCUCCA
rnacentral:tRNA from 2 species